AUUAGAGAGCCUUAGUAGUA
rnacentral:tRNA from 1 species